UAAGUGGACUUAGAAUGAAUUAGAUGCGCGACAAAGGCUUCAAAUUGCUGCUGCCAGGUUUUGGUUAGUGCAGGGACUGCAUUGUAAGUCUGCAGGGACUAAACUGCGAACUGCAGGGACUGAAUUGUAAACCAGCAGGCUACAAUGCAGUUUCAGCAUUUUAGGAGGGUUAAGUAGCAAUUUCUGAUCUUAUCCCUUUAACUCAGUGAAGCUGAGGAUGUACACGUAUCAAGGACUUAUUCCCUCAGCUUAUUCUAAUCCAUUUCUUCAUCUCUUUCUCUCUCUAGGCUGAUGGAAACCGAGCAAUUGAGGGAGGCAACAAGUUGAUGAUAAGAAGAAUUUUGUGGAGCAGCAAGGAAGGCUUUUUAAAGCUGAGAUUAAUUAAAAGAAGUAUCUAAUUAAGGUGGGAUUUGAAGCUUCAGGCUGAUUGAAGCUGCUAAGUUGAUGCUUUGAUUAAGGAAAAUUAGGAAUUAAAAAAUUUCAGAAGAAGCUGAAGUAAAGAGAGGAGUAUGAAACUGCUAGUUGUUGGAACAGCAUCUAAUCAAGUUGAAGAAGCCUUGGUGGAGCUUCUUUGGUAGUUCAACUGCAGCAAAUCUGAUGGAGCCUUGAAUUAGGUCGACGACGCGCUAAUCACGGUAGAGACUGUUCUAGUUCUAUUUGCACUGAGUCGCGAGAGCUAGUUGUCGACACAUUCCGAGACGUGGAUUCUAGUCGUUGACACCACUACAGGUUCCAGUGCGAGCGGUGUGGCCGAGGAUCGUGGCAAGAGCCCCGCAGCCUAGCUAGCUGAC